rnacentral:misc_RNA from 1 species
AAAGUCGUAACAAGGUAACCGUAGGUGAACCUGCGGUUGGAUCAUUAAUAAGUUUUGGUUUAAACCAAACAAACCUUGUGUGCUAUGUUAUUUGUUUCUCAUGGUUCGAGAGCACUACUCUCAUAGAUGAGGGUUGUGCCUGCGUUUGACACGGAGAGAAGUCUUUCUUUGUUGGCGUUCAGAUGAUUUGUUAUGAAUCUUUUGUUUGUUAGCUUUUGAAAGAUUUAGUUCCUUGGUUGAAUGGCUGUUCCAUGAAAAGGAUCAUGCAAGUGUUGAGUCUUUCCAUUGAUUCCAUUUGCUGUUCUUGCAAUCAACCUAAUGAAUCAUUUGCUUUUAUGUCUUAUUUUUAUUCACGUCAUCUAUGAUGUGGGAAUUUUAUAACAACUUUUGACAACGGAUCUCUUGGCUCUC